GGCUCCUGUGCCUGUAUGGGCUUCAGUUCAGGGAAUGUAUUUGUCAAAAUGGAUUUAAAAGAAGAGUACUGGUUGGGAGGUGGAUAUACAUCAUGAUUUUUAACUUAAUUAGAGCGCUGCAUGGACAAAGGCAGACCACCCACAUGGAGCUUGAUGCAGGAUUGUAGCCCUAGCAAGCAGCAUUUUUAAGCUGAUUUGUUAGUCAAGCAGAAAGAGGAGCUCCUCCUUCCAGCAGCCAGUUCAAAAUCAGAUCCACGUUGUGUAUGCAUAACAUGUUCCAUGGAGAAGGGUGUGAAAAUCAAAAAGGCCAGAAUCUUUGUAGAAGUGUAGCGAAUUCAAGCAACUGAUGACGACAAAGAAUUAAAGCUCUGGCCUGUAGUCAACGGGGAAAAAGCAAAGCCACUCAUCUGAUAAUCUCUUCCUGGGCAUGGAAGACUGGUUUGAAUAAUUGCUAUUAUUGGAGGAAUUCCCUGGGUAAUGAUCUGCUUUACAUGGAGCUCUGACUAGAUAGAAUACCUGCCAAAAACUGAGUUUGGUUGAUCGCCUGCCACAAAGACGGGUGAUGAACACAACAUAUUUAUCUUACUUGGAU